rnacentral:tRNA from 1 species
GGGGCCGUAGCUCAGUUGGGAGAGCGCCUGAAUGGCAUUCAGGAGGUCGGCGGUUCGAAUCCGCUCGGCUCCACCA